GAUGAACGCUGGCGGCGUGCCUAAUACAUGCAAGUCGAGCGAACAGACGAGGAGCUUGCUCCUCUGACGUUAGCGGCGGACGGGUGAGUAACACGUGGAUAACCUACCUAUAAGACUGGGAUAACUUCGGGAAACCGGAGCUAAUACCGGAUAAUAUAUUGAACCGCAUGGUUCAAUAGUGAAAGACGGUUUUGCUGUCACUUAUAGAUGGAUCCGCGCCGCAUUAGCUAGUUGGUAAGGUAACGGCUUACCAAGGCGACGAUGCGUGGCCGACCUGAGAGGGUGAUCGGCCACACUGGAACUGAGACACGGUCCAGACUCCUACGGGAGGCAGCAGUAGGGAAUCUUCCGCAAUGGGCGAAAGCCUGACGGAGCAACGCCGCGUGAGUGAUGAAGGUCUUCGGAUCGUAAAACUCUGUUAUUAGGGAAGAACAAAUGUGUAAGUAACGAUGCACGUCUUGACGGUACCUAAGCAGAAAGCCACGGCUAACUACGU
rnacentral:rRNA from 1 species